rnacentral:rRNA from 1 species
GACGAACGCUGGCGGCGUGCUUAACACAUGCAAGUCGAACGGAAAGGCCCUGCUUUUGUGGGGUGCUCGAGUGGCGAACGGGUGAGUAACACGUGAGUAACCUGCCCUUGACUUUGGGAUAACUUCAGGAAACUGGGGCUAAUACCGGAUAGGAGCUCCUGCUGCAUGGUGGGGGUUGGAAAGUUUCGGCGGUUGGGGAUGGACUCGCGGCUUAUCAGCUUGUUGGUGGGGUAGUGGCUUACCAAGGCUUUGACGGGUAGCCGGCCUGAGAGGGUGACCGGCCACAUUGGGACUGAGAUACGGCCCAGACUCCUACGGGAGGCAGCAGUGGGGAAUAUUGCAAAAUGGGCGGAAGCCGGAUGCAGCAACGCCGCGUGCGGGAUGACGGCCUUCGGGUUGUAAACCGCUUUCGCCUGUGACGAAGCGUGAGUGACGGUAAUGGGUAAAGAAGCACCGGCUAACUACGU